GACGAACGCUGGCGGCGUGCUUAACACAUGCAAGUCGAACGGAAAGGCCCUGCUUUUGUGGGGUGCUCGAGUGGCGAACGGGUGAGUAACACGCGAGUAACCUGCCCUUGACUUUGGGAUAACUUCAGGAAACUGGGGCUAAUACCGGAUAGGAGCUCCUGCUGCAUGGUGGGGGUUGGAAAGUUUCGGCGGUUGGGGAUGGACUCGCGGCUUAUCAGCUUGUUGGUGGGGUAGUGGCUUACCAAGGCUUUGACGGGUAGCCGGCCUGAGAGGGUGACCGGGCACAUUGGGACUGAGGUACGGCCCAGACUCCUACGGGAGGCAGCAGUGGGGAGUAUUGCACAAUGGGCGGGAGCCUGAUGCGGCGACGCCGCGUGCGGGAUGACGGCCUUCGGGUUGUAAACCGCUUUCGCCUGUGACGAAGCGUGAGUGACGGUAAUGGGUAAAGAAGCACCGGCUAACUACGUG
rnacentral:rRNA from 1 species